rnacentral:rRNA from 1 species
UAAAGAAAGCAUAAUAGCUCACUGGUCGAGUCGGCCUGCGCGGAAGAUGUAACGGGGCUAAACCAUGCACCGAAGCUGCGGCAGCGACACUGUGUGUUGUUGGGUAGGGGAGCGUUCUGUAAGCCUGCGAAGGUGGCCUGUGAGGGUUGCUGGAGGUAUCAGAAGUGCGAAUGCUGACAUAAGUAACGAUAAAGCGGGUGAAAAGCCCGCUCGCCGGAAGAC